GCGAGGGGGUGGCGCGGAAAUGCCCCUUUUCCCUGGGGCAGCCCCCAGUUUCCCCAGUCCGUGGUGGUGCUGGAUGCUGGGAUGUGCUGGGACGGGGUCCCCUGAGCAAGGGACCCCCCCUGGGGGGGGACAGGUCUUGUUGAAGGCCACCAUGGGAAAACCUGGGGCUCCCCCCGCACACGGGUGCUCCCUGUCCUUGCACUGUCCCCUCCUUGUGCUCUGUCACUGUGUCACCGUCCCCUGUCCUGUCUGUCACCCCCCCCCCCCCCCAUCACCAGGGGAGGGGGCUCGGAGCAUGUGUAAAGAAUAAAGCAGGGGGAGAAGAGGAA